rnacentral:lncRNA from 1 species
GACAUGAAAUAUCAUUUCAUUAGACAUCAGAUAGAAGAGGGACUCCUCGUGGUACAAAGGGUAUCGUCAGAAGAGAACCCAACGGAUCCCCUUACGAAGGGACUGAAUAGGGCUAAACACUUGCAGCACACUAGGAGCAUUGGACUGAAGGACGAUAUUAGUUUUCGUGAUUAGAUAGCCUUAGAAACUUGUAAUAGAUAAAUUGUAAUUGACAUUUUGAUGAUUAAAUAAAUGUGUAUCAUUUAUAAGUAAUGUUACUGUCUUAUGUCAAUUAUUUACUANCGACGAGUGUGUGGUGAUAAGAUCAUCAAAGUUAAAGCUUCCAAACCACGCAAUGAGAAAAUUCUUACGUUGCUGAUCACUCAUCAAGGUCCUCAGCAUUCAUACACUGAAGUUGUCAAGAGGGAUGAACUGAUCAAAUAUGGAUAUUCUGAAUGGAUGGAAUUACUUGAAUUGGCAUCCAAGCAAACCUCAGUUCACUCCUCNCAUUUUGAUGAUUAAAUAAAUGUGUAUCAUUUAUAAGUAAUGUUACUGUCUUAUGUCAAUUAUUUACUAUUGUUUCACUUUUCAUGUUUUGACUUCCUAAAUAAUAAGAUUAUUUAAACUAUCCACAGUCGAUCAUAGGUUGAAGUAAGUAUGAAUGAAGACUGUCAUGAAUUGGCUUGUAGAUUAUCUAAGUGUUUAGACGUAGCAAAAGUUUGAUGCAACGUUCAUGAGUACUUAUGAAAUAUGAUUUGAGUAUUGUAUUAAACCCACACUCACAUGAAUCACUUCAUGGAAUUUAAUCACGAGUGAUUGUGAGAUGAUAAUAUC